UACAAGCUGUUCUGGGAGUUCUUCCUUUAAAUAUUUUCCUCUCUUUUCUCCUCUUUUGCAGAAGAUGUUCUAACUACGCUAGACUGGGGAGCACAGUUAGGACAGCUAUUACUUUAAGUCUGAAUUAUGGACAAUAACUUAGAAAAGUUCUGGCUGGAACUAAAKGAAGCUGGGACUGAAGGAAAAGUGCUAAAGUCCCCUUCGAGCAUCUUUCUGCAAGACACAUCAGAGAUCUGAAUGGGAAACCUGUUGUCCUUACUCUUCCUGCCAAGUUCUGUAGUCUGAGAGACUCUGAAUAACUUCAGUUCUUUGGAUUCCUUGCAUUUGCUGGGCAGCUCUGAUCCCUUGUGUGCUGGCUGGACUAUGGCUUCUCUUUUGAUAUGUACCCGGGUUCAAAGACAGUAUUCCAGGUGGCUCAAAGAAUUCUUAGAGUUUGUGCUCAUGACAGGUAUGUCACUGAUUUUUCAUCUGAAUUACUAUAUUUAUAGUUCAGUAAGCCUUUAUAGUUGGAUCUACAUUCUGUAACUAGG
rnacentral:lncRNA from 1 species